rnacentral:rRNA from 1 species
AGAGUUUGAUCCUGGCUCAGAACGAGCGCCGGCGGCGUGCCUCAUACAUGCAAGUCGAACGAGAAAGCGGUUUUCGAAUCGUUAGUAAAGUGGCGAACGGGUGAGUAACGCGUGGGCAAUCUGCCCUCGAGUGGGGGAUAACAUUCCUAACGGGAUGCUAAUACCGCAUGAUAUCACGUUGUCGCAUGGCGAUGUGAUCAAAGGUGGCCUCUGCUUGCAAGCUAUCACUUGAGGAUGAGCCCGCGUACCAUUAGCUUGUUGGUAGGGUAACGGCCUACCAAGGCUGCGAUGGUUAGCCGGCCUGAGAGGGUGUCCGGCCACACUGGGACUGAGAUACGGCCCAGACUCCUACGGGAGGCAGCAGUAGGGAAUUUUGCGCAAUGGGGGAAACCCUGACGCAGCAACGCCGCGUGGGUGAUGAAGCUCUUCGGAGCGUAAAGCCCUGUCAGGAGGGAAGAACUUGUCACCGACCCAACACGUCGGUGGCGUGACGGUACCUCCAGAGGAAGCUCCGGCUAACUCCGUGCCAGCAGCCGCGGUAAUACGGGGGGAGCGAGCGUUGUUCGGAAUUACUGGGCGUAAAGGGCGCGUAGGCGGAUUCGGAAGUCGAGCGAGAAAACUCCUGGCUCAACCAGGAGCCUGCGCCUGAAACUCCGGAUCUUGAGUACAGAAGAGGAGAGUGGAAUUCCUGGUGUAGCGGUGAAAUGCGUAGAUAUCAGGAAGAACAUCGGUGGCGAAGGCGGCUCUCUGGUCUGAUACUGACGCUGAGGCGCGAAAGCGUGGGGAGCAAACAGGAUUAGAUACCCUGGUAGUCCACGCCGUAAACGAUGGGCACUAGGUGUUGGGGGUAUCGAUCCCCUCAGUGCCGAAGCCAACGCAUUAAGUGCCCCGCCUGGGGAGUACGACCGCAAGGUUGAAACUCAAAGGAAUUGACGGGGGCCCGCACAAGCGGUGGAGCAUGUGGUUCAAUUUGACGCAACGCGAAGAACCUUACCGGGGCUUGACAUAUACUUGCAAGCUGUAGAAAUACAGCCCUCCUUUUGGACAGGUAUACAGGUGCUGCAUGGCUGUCGUCAGCUCGUGUCGUGAGAUGUUGGGUUAAGUCCCGCAACGAGCGCAACCCUUGCCCUUAGUUGCCAUCAGGUUAUGCUGGGAACUCUAGGGGGACUGCUGGUGAUAAACCGGAGGAAGGUGGGGAUGACGUCAAGUCCUCAUGGCCCUUAUGUCCCGGGCUACACACGUGCUACAAUGGCUGGUACAGAGGGUAGCAAUGCCGCGAGGUGGAGCUAAUCCCAGAAAGCCAGUCUCAGUUCGGAUUGGAGUCAGCAACUCGACUCCAUGAAGUUGGAAUCGCUAGUAAUCGCGGAUCAGCAUGCCGCGGUGAAUACGUUCCCAGGCCUUGUACACACCC